rnacentral:sRNA from 1 species
CUAUGGGGUCGUCCUGUGGGCCAGUGGCCCGCAUGACGCUUCCGGGAGGUCGGUGUGACCAGCGGAUUGUCCCUGUGUCAGGGCU